UACAGAGGUCCCGAGCGUUGUUCGGAUUUAUUGGGCGUAAAGGGUGCGUAGGCGGCGGAGUAAGUUGGGUGUGAAAUCCCGGGGCUUAACCUCGGAAUUGCAUUCAAUACUGCUUCGCUCGAGUACUGGAGAGGAGACUGGAAUUCAUGGUGUAGCAGUGAAAUGCGUAGAGAUCAUGAGGAAGACCAGUGGCGAAGGCGGGUCUCUGGACAGUUCCUGACACUGAGACACGAAGGCCAGGGGAGCAAACGGG
rnacentral:rRNA from 1 species